GCCAGCAGGCAUGUCAUCCUGCAGCCCACUGAAGCUAAGCAGGUGUGAGCCUGGUCAGUACCUGGAUGUGAGACCUCCUGGGAAAACCUGCUGCUGGAA
rnacentral:rRNA from 1 species